AAAGAAGGUACAAAGGGAGAAAAGUAAUGAAAAGAAGGGAGAACAAAGGAAUGAUAUCAAUGAGGGAGGAUAUCAGCAGGAAUACCGAAAGGAGAAAGGAGGAGGAAGGAAAGAAGACAGAAGAAGGAAGGUGUGUGGAAUGGAUGUCAAAGAAGGAAUGUUGGUGGAAUAAAAAAAGAAGACAGCAGGAUGAAUGAAGUUUGAGCAAGGAAGGAAGGAAGGAAAGACAGAAGGUGAUUGGAAAGUAAGAGUAAAACUGAAAGGAAGAUGGGGUGGAAAGAAGGGAAAAUGUUGAUGGAUUGAAUACGAAGGAUGAAAAAAGUGAGAAGGAAGGACCGAGGGAAGAAAGCAAUGAUGACGAAGGAAGGAAGAAAGAAGGAAAUUCAAAGGCUUGAGGAAGCUCAGAUUUGCUGUGGCAGUAAGAAAGCUGGGACGCAAUCUCAUUACACAGAGGACUGGUCUCAUCUCCCUCUUUGCCUGUCCUUCCAGUGACACGUGGAGAAGAGCUCUGACCCGUCGAAGCAUGGACUCCACAAGCUCUCUGAAGGUGUGCUGUGGUAUCUGGCACCAA
ensembl:lncRNA